rnacentral:rRNA from 1 species
UACGGAGGGUGCAAGCGUUACUCGGAAUCACUGGGCGUAAAGGGUGCGUAGGCUGACUUUUAAGUCAGGCGUGAAAUCCAAUGGCUUAACCAUUGAACUGCGCUUGAAACUGGGAGUCUAGAGUUCAGAAGGGGCAGAUGGAAUUAGUGGUGUAGGGGUAAAAUCCGUAGAUAUCACUAGGAAUAUCAAAAGCGAAGGCGAUCUGCUGGGAUGAUACUGACGCUGAGGCACGAAAGCGUGGGGAGCAAACAGGAUUAGAUACC